GCCCACAUGGACAUCAAUGGAUGAAUAGGAGGUUUGUACUGUGUGGGUCCCUUCAACUUCAACCAGUUUCAUUUGGUGACCUUGAAUCCGAAAAUUGAGUGAAUUUUGCAGCCCAACAUUUGAGAUUCUAAACCUGUACGUUUUUCCUGCAAAUUUCAUUUAAUUUUACCAUUAAAAUUUAUAAACUACUUUCAAAAUUGACAAGGAGUAGUAAGAUUUAUCUUAAAGUACCUUGUUCAACAGUAAAAGAAGCCUUAUUCGUAGUAGUUCCGCGACCAUUGAUCAAGACUCCGUCAGGAAAAGGAAGUCUAUGACCUCGGUCUAGCAAUGUCUUCAAGACCUGAAACAAAUGGAACGCGUUAGUACCUUUACAUUUUUUAAAUGUCGUAUAAAAAUUUGUAACGCCAGAUAUUGAUAGGUUGAAUUACGUACGGAGUGAUCGUGUUGGUACCAAUCUCCGAUGAGAAGGGUGAAAUCUCCAGCUGGUUCGGGGAAGGGAACGGGAAUUCGAG
rnacentral:lncRNA from 1 species